CCACCAACGUGGUUAGUCCAGUCCCCGAGAGACUCUCUCGAGAUUUUUCACUAUCUUGUUAAGCUUAAGGGUGCUCAACAAACCGUUACACACUUGAGGAGUCCCCGAGAGACUCUCUCGAGAUUUUCUACUAACUUGUUAAGCUUAAGGGUGCUCAACAAACCUUUACAAACUUGAGGACGCAAGCCUCAACACCUUUGCUCGGAGUUACAACACUCCAAGACUUCAACCAAGGAAGCACAAGUUCCUUACAACACGAGAAUCGCAAUUCUCUUACAAAUGUAUAAACACUCAAACACUCAAACAAUAUACUCCUUUAUGAGUAGGUAUGAGUAAAAGAAAUAAGCUCGAUGAUCACAACAACUUUGAACAAGACUUUGGCUCUCAAAAGCUUUAUGAAAUGAAUAUAAAAUGAUAAACACAAGUAUGCAAGCUUAUAGCAAUGUAAUGAUUAGUUGGUGUAUGUUGUUGUGUUAAAAACACUGAAAUGAAGUUGUAUUUAUAGUUGAAAAAUUGUGGUUACGUUGCUUAAUUACCAAUUAAGAGUUGCUGAAAUUACUGUGUGACAAUCGAUUGUCAAACCCCAACAAUCGAUUGUUUGCCAGUCAGAUAAAAAUUCAAUCCCAGAUUUCACGCUUGAUAAUCGAUUACUUACAAUCCAUAAUCGAUUACUGGCAACAUUCAAAAAAUCCUUUCCAGAUUUUACUUCAAAUAAUCGAUUACUCAAAUUCAAUAAUCGAUUACUCAGCAACGUUCAAAAAAUCUUUUUCAGAUUUUACNNNNNNNNNNNNNNNNNNNNNNNNNNNNNNNNNNNNNNNNNNNNNNNNNNNNNNNNNNNNNNNNNNNNNNNNNNNNNNNNNNNNNNNNNNNNNNNNNNNNNNNNNNNNNNNNNNNNNNNNNNNNNNNNNNNNNGAAGAAACCUGAUGUUCACUGCCUUAACACAAUCGAUUGUCAUUAGUUCACAAUCGAUUGUCAUGCUGUCUUGACUUAAAACAAUCGAUUAUCAUUAGUACAUAAUCGAUUAUCUUAGUCCAGAUUUUUGAGGCAUGUUUAAAAAUCAUUUUAACUGAAAUAAGUAUGUAUGAUUUAAAAUCAUUUUGACAUUAAAAUAAAUAUGCAUUUUGGAAAAACGAAUUUACGAGAGAAGCCAUGUCAUGAGCCAAGUUGCCGGAUCAAGAACACAAAUAAGAACGACUCAUUUAAACUAUGAAACUUUGUCUUGAGCUUGAAUCUCGUAGUAUAUCAAUUGUUGCGCUUGGCUUGAACUUUGUCAUAUAUCAAUUUUCGCUUCGUUUAUCAUUCAUCAAAACCUACACAAAAGAACACACGUUUUAGUAUAUUACAUUGAGAACGUGUUUCCAACAGGUUGGAGCUACUAAAGUAUUAUGAUAUUACUAUUCUUUAUCACCGGGGCAAGGCCAAUGUGGUAGUCGAUGCCUUGAGUCGUCGGGCGAAGAGUUUGGCAUAUUUACCAGCUUUAGAGAGACUCAUGGCGAUGGAUGUUCAGGCCUUAGCCAGUCAUUUCGUGAGAUUGGACCUUUCCGAACCCAGUCGAGUUCUAGCCUGUGUGGUUUCUCAAUCUUCAUUGUUCGAUCUUUUCAGGGAGCGGCGAUAUAAUGACCCUCAUUUGCUUGUCCUUAAGAACAAAUUUCAGCACGGUGAUGCUAGGGAUGUGACUAUUGGAGAUGACGGGGUAUUGAUGAUGUAGGCUCGGAUAUGUGUACCCGAUGCGUACAUCAUCCAUCCGGGUGCCGCGAAGAUGUAUCAGGAUAUGAGGUAGCAUUACUGGUGAAGGCGAAUGAAGAAGGACAUAGCAGAGUUUGUAGCUAGAUGCCUCAACUGUCAAUAGGUAAAGGCUGAGCACCAGAGACUAGGAGGGUUACUCCAGCAGAUAAAGAUUCCGGAGUGGAAAUGGGAGAAGAUCACUAUGGACUUUGUAACCGGUCUCCCUCUGACUGUGAAGAAAUUUGAUUCUAUUUGGGUUGGUGUAGAUCGGCUGACCAAGUCCUCUCAUUUCAUUCCAGUGUAUAGUACUUACUCAGCGGAGCGGUUAGCUGGGUACAAAGGUCACUAUGAGUACAACUUUUCACCCUCAGACGGACAGACAGUCCGAGCGCACCUUCAGAUUCUUGAGGAUAUGCUCCAUGCGUGCAUGAUUGAGUUUAUAGGGUCUUGGUAUCAUUUCUUGUCAUUUACUGAGUUUGCGUACAACAACAGUUAUCAGUACAACACAUAGAUGGUGCCGUAUGAGGCCUUAUAUGGUAGGAGAUUUAGAUCCACGAUGGGUUGGUUCGAGCCGGUGAGGCCAGGCUAUUGGGCACUGAUUUGGUAAAGGAUGCAGUAGAGAAAGUCAAGGUAAUUCGAAACAAACUCCGUACGGCCCAGUCCAGACAAAAGAGUUAUGCGGACCGGAAGGUUUGUGAUGAUGGUUGGUGUGCGGGUUCUGCUUCAGGUCUCGCCUAUGAAAGACGUCAUGAGGUUUGGGAAGAAAGGGAAGUUGAGUCUAAGGUUCAUUGUCCCUUUUGAGAUUUUGAAACGAGUUGGGGAGGUUGCUUACGAGCUCUCAUUACCUCCCAGAUUGGCCAGGGUUCAUAAUGUAUUUCACGUCUCGAUGCUUCGGAGAUAUCACGGUGACCUGUCUUAUGUGUUGGCGUUCACUUCAGUCCAGUUGGACAAGGACUUGUCCUAUGUUGAGGAGCCAGUGGUGAAAUUGGACAGGCAAGUCUGAAAGCUCAGGUCAAAGGAUAUAUCUUUAGUAACGGUUCAGUGGCGGGAUCAUCCGACCAAGAAGGUGACUUGGGAGACCGAGCGGGAUAUGCGCAGCCGAUACCCUCAUCUAUUUGCUACUUAAGGUAUGUUCUCUAUGCUCGUUCGAGGACAGACGUAUGUUUAAGCGUAGAAGGAUGUGACAACCCGGCCGGUAGUCUUUAGAAUUUAUGCCCGGUUCCCCCAUUAACUAUUUCCCCAAAGUUCAUUUAUGCUAUUUUGGUUUGCUGGGACGUUCGGUGUUAGAAUUUGGAGUGCUUUGGGAUACAUAGUCCCUAAAUGAGAGCUUGAGUGUUAGUAAGUGGUCCGUAAUUGUAACAAUGCGAUGCAACCUCGUAAUGAAAAUACAAUGCUUUUAUUAGCUCCUUUAGGUGAUUUCGGGGUUAGGGGCGUGUUCGGAAUGUAUUUUGGAUGUCCAUAGCUCAUUUAGGCUAGAAAUGCCGAAAGUAAGAAUUUGGAGGUUUCCGGUCCGAUAGUGAAUUUUUUAUCCGAGGGUCGGAAAGGAAUUCUGGAAGUUGCUAUAGAGCCUUCAUGUCAUUUGGGACAUGCGUGCAAAAUUUCAGGUCAAUCGAGCGAAUGUUGGUUAGGUUUUGAAUCGAAAGCGUGUUUUAGAUGAACUUGAAGUUCUUAGGCUUGAAUCUUUAAUUUAAUCGGGUUACCGGUGUUGUUUUGGAGGUUUUAAGGAUUGGUAUAAGUUCGAAUAAGGCAUUAGAUGGUAUUAGUGUGUUUGGUUGGGGUCUCGGGAUGAUUUCGGAUGGUCGACGAAGUGGAUUUUUAAGUGUUGCAGCAGCUGAUGUUCUUCCUAUUUGGUAUUUUCCCUUAUGCGGUUGGUGAACCGCAGAAGCGGAGCUGCAUAAGUGGCCCGGCUCACCGCAGAAGCGAUGUGGGGUGUGUCCUUCAGAGACUGCAGAAGCGGUAAAUUACCCGCAAAGGUAGAUCCGCUAAUGCGGUUGUACGUCCGCAGAAGCGAAUUCUGGCCCCCUUGAUGAAAUCUGCAGAAGCGGAUCCUUGUCCGCAUAUGCGGGAUCGCAGAAGCAAAAAAAUAAAACUUAUUGCAACUACGAACGUUACAGAUGCUUUCACAUUAGACUAUUUUAACCGAUUGUUUAUGUCGACCAGUCCCUUGUCCGCAUAAGCGGAAAUCGUUGUUCUGAUAAGGGUUUAUCCAAGGCUUAAUUUCAAAAGUUGGAAAAUCAAUUGGGAGCUCGGGAGAAGGUAAUUUUGAGUGGGUUUUGAAGAGAAGAUUAUUGGGUAACGUUGAUUUGAUCCUUUCUAGUUAUAUUUCAUCAUUUCCUAGUUAAAGCAACCAUUAGAAUUCAAAUUCAAGAUCUAAAAUUGGGAAAAAUGGGUGAAACUUCUUAGACUUAAUUAUGUGAUUUUGAGUGGGCAUUUGACCUCCGAUUUGGGAGAUUUUUAUAUGGUUAGACUCGUGAAAGUACGAGGGUUCUGAAAAUGUGAAAGUUAUUCGAUUUUGAGCCAUCGAUCUAAGGGGAGUUUUGGUCAUUUUACCUAUUUCGAGCCUUAGCUUUAAUUUCAAUAAUGAAAUCAGUUGCUUGCGAUGUUAUUUACAUUAUGAAAUUAAAUUGAAUAGAUUUAAGCCAUUUGGAGUUAGAUACUUGUGGCAAGGACAUUGUUUCAUAGUUGAUUUGUACUGGUUUGAGGUAAGUGGCUUGUCUAACUUUGUGUGGGGGACCUCUCCCCUCAGUAUAUAUUACUUGUUAUUUUAAAUGCUUUGUACGCGAGAUGACGAGCGUGUACUUGAGCUAGUUGUUGAAAACCCAUUUUUCUUAGAAUAUUUAAACUGUGUUCUCUUGCGUAUUUGCAUAUUCUAAGUGCAACUUAACCUGUGUUGGCUUAGGAUGAGCAUGUUUAGCUGCCUUACUUUCUUAAUUUCUUAAAUUGAAUUAUCUGACCUUUGUGAAGCAUGAUAUAUUAGAAAUUCUAUUAAUUGUUCUUACUUAUCAGUAUACAAUAUUGAAGUGUUGUGGUGUUUACAAUUUGGGACUACGGGACGACAUCCCGCUAAUUCCCUUUUUAUGUGUUGCGUUCUAUGACUGAGAGUGCUGGAUACCAAGAGAUCCCUGGCACAGAUAUGACUAUAAAAAGGGAGGAUACCAGGCGAUUCUCGGGAUAAUAUGAUAUACCUUGUUUAAAAUGGAGGAUACUAGGAGGUACUCGAGAUACUAAGAGAUCCCAUAUGUGAAAUGGAGGAUACUAGGAGAUCCUCGGGAUACUAGGAGAUCCCUCGAGUAUAUGAUGAGGAUACUAGGAGAUCCUCGGAAUACCAGGAGAUCCCCGGUGAUAGAUAUCGGGUGGUGAUUUGCACUGCUAUUUACUUACUGUGUUAGUUCUCGAUUAUUGUCUUAUGUAUUAUUUUGCUAGAUUCUCACAGUAGAUCAUAUCCAUAUGUUCUUUCCUUAUUCUAUUGAUUAUUAUGUUUUUAUCUCGGUAUGGCCUCGACAUUUCCUCGUCACUACCCGACCGAGGUUAGGCUUGGCAUUUACAAAGUACUGCUGUGGUGUACUCACGCCUUUUCUGCGCAUGCUUUUCAUGUGCAGAUCCAUGUUCCUCUAUGCUGGCACAUUAUCAGUAGUUGUAUGGAGCAUUUUAGACACUUGAGGUAUAUUUGUCGCGUCCCCAGACCGGAGAGUCUCCCUCUCACUCUACCCCUUUUGUUAGUUAGAUGCUAUUAUGUUCUUCCUUGUCAUUGACGUUUCCGGAUAAUUAGAGCAGUAUUAUGUAUUACUCUUAGCCUGUGUUGCCCAUGGAUUUUUGGGUCUUUGGGAUAGUUUCAGAAUAUAAAGUGUUUAAAUGUAUGUAUCAGGCGGCAACUAUAUACAUUACUCAUGUUAUUUUGCUUUUGGAUCACAAAUUUCUUAAAUGUUGUUACUUCUGCAAUGUUUUAGGCUUACCUAGUCGUGAAAACUAGGUGCCGUCAUGACUUGUUCAUAAUUGGUAAUCCUGGAACUUACGUAUAAUAUGUUGGAGUUCAUGCAUACUAAUACUGGAACUCCAGCAUAAGAUACAUGCGUAUUUUCCGUCUUUUGAACAGUGUUUUCUCUCAUAUUUAUUUUUUCAUGAAAAGUGACUAAAUUUCGAUUACUUUUGAAACUGGGCUAUUUUUGAAUGACCGGUAUUAAAUUUGGCUAUUUUUAAAUUUCUCCCUAUCUUUCUGCAUUUUGUGUAAGCUUAGAGUAAUUGAUCCCACAUCAUUGUAAUGUUCUUUGCUUUUGCAAGAUUCAAAAAUAACAAAACGAUGUUGUAGUAAAGUCCUCGUGAAAUCAAAUGAAGAGCUAUAUUUGUUCCUAUAAUUUGGACCUUGGUGCAAGUCAAGUUCCUCAAAUAGUUAUUGCAUGAGUAUUCCAUAUUUUUUUGUCGUCAAUAGAAUAGAAUUAUUUACAGGACCAUAAAUACAACUAAUAUUUUUACCUGGUUAUUUUGCAAUAUACCGUAAAGCCUCUAAUAUGGUUGACAUAUUGUCACGACCUCAACCCCGGUAAUGAUAGUGCCUAACAUGCUGUUAGGCAAGCUCGACCAUUCGACAACCUUGACCAAUUUCUUACACAAUUCAUGAUUUAUUAAUACAAGAAAUUUACUAGGUCAUCAUAUAAGAAGUCUCAAAUAAAAGAUAAAACAUGAGGAAUCUCAAGUAAAACCCUACAACAUAGCCCAAAGAAUUUGGUGUCACAAGUCUGAGCCUUAAUUCAAAUUUAUCGCCUAUUACAUGUUCGUCUAGGAAGUAUAAAAUAAAAGACAAGGAUAGAAGUGAGAGAUCAGGGUUGCGAAUGCCAUGCAGCUACCUCGAUGCUCCCGGAUACUGUGCUGCUCAGCUAAAAUAAUUCUCACUCAGCCUCAGAUGCGCCUGGAUCUGCACACAAAGUGCAGGGAGUAAUAUGAGUACUCCGACCCAGUGAGUAAUAAACAUUAAUAAAGGCUGAGAAUAAUAAAUCAUGGAAAAACACAAGGCAAUCUAUAAUUGGAAGUUUAGAGAAAUUAAUAAACCCAUGAAAACAAAAUAUAGAAAUACUAAAAACAGAGAGAUAGAUAAAUGACAGAUGAAUAAGGAGAAUGCAACACACAAAAUAGUACUCUCUAGUACCCAGCUGCAGCGUGGAGCCCGAUCUAUUUAUUUAUCGUCGACGACGCGCACUAGGGGUGUGCAGACUCUGGGAGGGGCCCCUUACAGCCUAAGCGCAAUAUCUAGCCAUCUUGUGGCAUCAACUAGACCAUCAACUCAAUAUCAAUAUCAUACUGCUGCGGCGCGCAGCCCGAUCCCAUAUUCAGUCCAAAAACCACAUAAGCCCCUCGAGCUAUAAUAAAUAGUAGUUCUCAACUCAUAACGUCAUUAGAAAUAUUUUUUAAGUUUAAAAUCUGCGUAAAAGUGGAUGAAUUUGUAAACAGUGUUUAUACCUUAUGACUGAGAUCAAAUAAUAUGUCAAAUAGUGUGGAAACAAUGAUAACAACCCCUGAAGGAUUCAAAUAGUUGGCACAAAGCCCGAACAUGACAAUGCGUCCAAGUAAAGAUGAUCUCAAAUAAGUUUCAAUUACGCGGUAAAAUCACUCCCGAUGGACCAAGUCACAAUCUCUAAUAAUAAUCGACCCCGCACUCAUCAUAGAGCACAUGUCUCGCCUCAAUAUAGCGCUACGAUGUGAAAUUUUAGGGUUUCAAACGCUCAGGACAUUAUUUACAUUCAUUACACACCUCAAGUCGGCCAAAACUCUAGCUCGAUAUGCCCUUAUUCUUAAAUCGGCCUCCUCGCACGUCGAAUCUGACCAAAAUCACCACGAAUACGUCACAAUAUGCUAAAGGAACAAUACCCAAUCGAAAAUAAUCUUAAAACAUCAAGAAAUUCGAAAUUGGCAAAAUUCGAGCCCCAUGGCCAUUUCUCAAAACUUAGAAUUUUUCAUACCAACGGAUUCCUUAUCUCUCCCCAAGUCUAUUCAUAUCAAAACCACAAGAAUCGGAGUCCAAUUGACCCCUCAAAUCCCCAUUCCUAACUUUCUUAAUUUCAAGCCAACCGCUAUUUUUAACCCUUGAUUCCUUGAUUGUUCCACCUUAAUUCAUGUAAUAACACCUUAGAUUUAUAUUUUAGGUCCAGAAAUCCUUACCUCAAUGAAGUCCCUUUAUUUCCCUCUCCAAAAUCGUCCAAAAUUUUCCAAGUCCGAAGUGCAAAAAUGACUACCUCUCAAAAUUCUGCUUCUGCGGAAAUAAGCAGAUAAACCAAAUCUCACAUCUGCAAUAUCUCCUCCGCACAUACGACACCGCACUUGGGGCCCCUUUUCCGCAUGUGCUGAAAUACCAUAACCUAGAAAACUUUGCAAUUCCUUAAGUCCCAAAACAUCCUAUUAGCCAUCCGAAACUCACUGGAGGCCCCCGGGACCUCAACCAAAAGCACCAACACAUCCUAAUACAUCAUUCAAACCCGUUCCACUCAUCAAAACACCUCAAAAAAUAAGAAAACCAUCAAAUUACAUCAAAUCCAAGCCUAAGUUCUUCAAAAACUUCCGAAACACGUAUAUGAUCAAAAACCCAACCAAAUGACCUCCAAAUAACCUGAAAUUUUGCACACACAUCUCAAAUCACCUAAUGAAGUUACUGCAACCCUAGGAAUUCCAUUCCGACCAUCGGAUGAAAAUCUCACCUUCCAACCGGAAAUUGCCAAAAUACUAACUUCGCCAAAACAAGCUAACUUCUUUACUGGACCUCUAAAAAAACUUCUGAUCACGCUUCUAAGUCACAAAUAAUCCCUCGAAGCUAGUCGAAUCACCAGAAAUCACAUCCGAGCCCUAUAACUCAUGAGUCAUCAUCCAGUUGACGUUUCCAAACUAAACCUUCCUUAAAGAGAUUAAGUAUCUUAUUUCCUACCAAAACCAAUCCGAAUUGACUCAAUCACACAAAAUACCGAUAAUGAAACAUGAAUAAGCAUAAAAUGUGGGGAACGAGGUGGUCACUCAUGAGACGAGAGGCCGGGUCGUCACACAUAUGCACAUUAUACGUAGCAAUAUCAAAACAAUUAUGGCAAGCACACAACUACUAUAACUAAAAGGCAUCGCAUGACUAAGAGCAUGUUUUGCCUAGCUUCUGCGAGGCUACAUUUUCCCCCAAAAAGUACUUUUUAAAAAAUUUAAGUUGUUUGGCCAAUACAGAAAAGUACCUUUUGGCAGCAGCAAAAGCAGUUUUUCUGCUUUUGGAAAUAUGCAAAAAAUCCUAGCUUCUUCCGAGAAGCAGGAGUAGAAAUUAAUUUAUUCAAGACAAUUAUCCUCACCAUAAAUUUACAUUUUCGAAAUUAUGCCUUACUAAUUUAAGUUUUUUCUUUUUAUUUAUGUUCUAGUUUUUACCAUCCUAUUAAAAUUACAUAUAUCAUAUAUAAAUCAUAUUGUAACUUUUCGAAAAAAUUAUUGACUUUUCUUGUUUUUGAUCUUUUCUUUAUAUAUUGUCUCAUAACUUUCAAAUUAUCUUCUUCUUUUUUCACAUAAAGCAAAUUAUAUGCAUCUUCUUUGGAUUAUCAAUUAUCGUCCUACAAAUAAUUAUUUAUAUUUUCUUCUAUUAUAUGUUAUUAGUUCCCGAAUCUUUAAAACAGUUAUCAAAUAUGAUUUGUGAAAUUAACCUCCAAAUAGGUAAUAAAUUUACAACUGCAUUGUAUAAUCUAUCUAUAUAUUGUAUAUCUAUAUAUUAUUAAAAGAAGAAGAAAAUGCAUCCAUAUUUAGUCAAGUGACAUAGCCAUUUGGCAUUUUAGGAGUUAGUAAGGUUAGGUAAUCUUUCUUUUUGAAUCUAAUUUUUUUAAAUAAAAUAUAUAUAUAUUAUGUGUUGUUAAUAAUUAGUUACUCUUAUUGAAUUAGAAUUUAAAUAUACUUAACUAUUUCUUUUACAAAUUUUUUAUAUAUUUAAAAUUAUUUUUAUAUUACGCUAGAUGCCAUCUUACAAGUUUGAUGCUCAAAAUUAUCUAGUUACUACUACCAUGGCUAUAGAUAAUUUCAUCUGAUAAUAUUCUUUUACCGAUAAAGAAUUCAACUAUUAUGCUAAUGAAGACAUUACUGCAGAGAUGGAUGAAGGAGAUUAGCCUUCUGAUAUUAUUUUAGGAAUGUCAGGCAAGUCUUCUACUAAUUUGAAGCAUUGUGUGAUAGAAGUGGAGAGGAAGUUGUUGAGAAGUAUUAUCAUGUGUGAGUAACUUUACUUAUUAUUUCAUGAUGGAUAAUCAAUAUAUAGUAAUUUGUGGAUAGACUUCUAAUUUACACUGAAUGAUGGUAUUUGUCAUGACCCAAAUCCACUAAGGUCGUGGUGGCACCGAAAAUCAUUGUCAGGCAAGCCAAUCAAACUACUUAGCCAAGUUCUUUUUUAUUUAUUUAGGAAAAAUACUUCUUUUAUACAUUUAAAACUAUAUAUUAUAAACUUCUCCGAGUAAAUAAUGAAACUCUUAAACAACUUUUAAAAUUUAUAAAUAAACUCAAUUACAUCCCAGAACCCGGUGUCACAAGUACAUGAACAAUUUCUAAGAGAUACUCAAAUAAGUGCGAUAAUUGUCCGGAAUAUAGUUGGACAGAAUGUAAAUAGAAAUAUGAAAGAGACUAUACUAGCUGCAGAAUCGCCUCAGGGAAAUGCAACUGACCUAGUCUCUGUGUCAACCAUGCUGCUAUGCCACUAAUCCACCAGUCAACCUGUGCAAUAAAAAUGCACAACAAGUGUAGUAUGAAUAUGAAUCAACGUGCUAAGCAAGUGUCCCCUCUAAUCUCGAAGAAGUAGAGACAAGAGGUCGACUUUAACACUUUAUAGUGGUCAAGUAAUAAUAUACCAACAUGUGAGGAAAUCAAGGGUUUAUAUAGCACUUUUAACAUCACAAAGCGGGUGAACAUGUAAACACAUUUUACACAUAAUAAGGGAUUUUCAUGAUUUACUUUUCAUUUAUACUUUGCAAUUUAUAUCAGUCAAAAAAGGCAAUAUGAUAUUUCAGGCAACAAUGUAAGCAUGCGCAAAUCAUGCCGAGGUGACGGCUCGAACCAACAAAAAUAAAUGUGCACUAGCUGAUGGUCAACGACGCGCCUAUAGAUGCAUUUAUUCAUACCGAGGCGAUCGGCCCGAUCCACAAAUAUCAAGCAAAUAUCAAGAAUACACACCAGGUACAUUAAUAUGCAGUUAUUCCACACAAAGGUUCAACAAGUGUACAAGCUUACUUUUAUUCUCUUAUAUCUUAAGUGAUCUCAUUAGCAACAUAGUAACUGUGCACUUGUCGAGGGUCGACGGGGCGCCUAUAGAUACAUCUAUUCAUACCGAGGCGAUCGGCAUGAUGCACAAAUAUCAAGCAAAUGUCAAGAAUACACACCAGACACAUUAAUAUGCAAUUAUUCCACACAAAGGUUCAACAUGUAUACAAGCUUACUUUUAUUCGUUUUCAAGUCUCUAGCAUACACGAAGUGAUCUCAUUAGCAAUAUAAUAACGGGAUUUUCACAACUUAAUCAUGAUGUGGGUCCUAAACUACCCGGAAGAUCAUUAUAGUAGUAGCUACAUACGGACUCUCGACACCUCGUGCGUACGUAGCCCCUGCAUUUGGCAACUAUCAUUCAUUUAUUAAUACUAUGGGAACAUUUCCAUCUUACAAGAUUAGAAAAGAGACUCACCUUGCUCUGAAGAUCCAUAACCGGCACUCUACAUUCUUCCGAAGACUUGAAUCAAUGCAAAAUGCUAAAAAACUAGCCAAUGGUCAUACAAAUCCAUUAAUAUAUGCUAAAGCACUCCUUAUAAUCCAAUUUAUAACAAUUCUUAACCCCAAACGAAAAGUUGACCAAAAUGCCUCGGGACCACGUGCCCGAAAUCCAAUUUUUUUCAAAUAUAAAGUUAAUAAAGUCUACCCAUGACCUUAGAAACUCAUAUAUAUAAUUUUCUCUAAAUUCCAUACUCAAAACCGUGGUCAAAUUCCAGGAACACAAUAUUUCUAGGUCUUCCUCUAACCCUCAACUUUCUACCCAUUUUCAUACCAAGAUCCAUACAUAACUGAUGUACUUAACUCGUCAUAGGUGGGGAUAACGUACCUUAUCAUUGAUGAUGUAAAACCUCUCUUGAAGCUCCCCAAAAAUCGCCAAAGCAAUGAGAAAUAUGAGAGAAAUGGCCAAAUACCCGAUUUUCAACAACCAUUCUGCCCCAGCAAUUUUCGCACUUACGGUCCUCUGAUCGCUUCUGCGGUUCUGCAGUUGUGGCCUUCUUACCGCUUCUGCAGUUCCAAUCCAGGCCCUUCAAAUCCGCUUAUGUGUCUCACCAACCGCAGGUGAGGUCCCGCUUCUACGGCUUCUUGACUGCAUCUGCGGUCCUCUCCUCCUUGGUCCUAACCGCUUCUGCGUUUUGAUCUUCGUCACUGCGGGGCCACUUCUGCGUUCCCAAUUCCGUAGAAGCGGAAAUACUAGAAGCAGCAACUCCAGGCCUUCUUCAAGUUCUAAAUUCGAUCAGUUAGCCACCCGAAAUCUACCUGAGGCCCCCGGCACCCCCAACCAAUCAUACCAACCAGUCCGCAAACACAUUACGGACUUGCUCGAGGCCUUGAAUCACAUCAAACAAAGCCAAAACCAUGAAUCGACCUCCAAUCCAAGCUUAAUGAUCUUUAAGAUUACCGACUUCCACUUUCUAUGCAGAAACCUAUCAAAUCACGCACGAUUGACUUCAAAUUUUGCACACAAGUCAUAUUUGACAUUACGAAUCUACUCCAACUUAUGGAAUCGGAUUCCGAUCCCAAUAUCAAAAAUUCCACUUCAUGUCAAACUUCUCAAAAAUCUUCAAAGUUCUAUGUUUAUCCAAAUGGCUUCAAACUGACCUAUGAACCUCCGAAUUCACUUACGAUCGCGCUACCAACUCCAGGAUCACCAUACGGAGCUACUCCCCGUCUACGAAUCCUAAACAGACAUCGAUAACACUGAAAUGCACUUCAAGCCAAACUUAUGAAAUUCCUUCCAAAAUGCUAACUUCCACAAUAUGCGCCAAAACGCUCCCGAGCCAUCCAUAAACCGAUUCGGGCAUACUCCCAAGUCCAAAAUAAUCAUACAAACCUUCUGGAACCUUCAGAUCCUUAUUCCAAGGUCAUAUACUCAAAAUUCCAAUCCCAAUUCAUUUCUUCAACUUUAAGCUUUCAAAAUGAUAAUUCUCCUUCCAAAUCCACUUUGAAUUUACCAAAAUUCCAUUCUAAUCACGCGUACAAGUCAUAAUACAUGAAAUGAAGCUGCUUAUGCCCCCAGACUGCUGAAUGACUGUCACGACCCUAGUUCGCCCAGCGGAAAAUAAACCAUAAAUUGCGGAAGAAUAAUUAAAACUUAACUAGUUGAAUAAAUCAAUAUUUAAGGUGUCGUCUAGCACAUAAAAUAACAAUUCUCGAAACUAACAAAAAUUUCCAAAACCCGAAAUCUCACAAAUCACAAGCUAAGGGAUACAUAAGAGGCUAUGACUCAAGAAUAUCUAUACAAAGGAGAAAUACUAAAAGAGCUAUACUUAUUAUAGAAAGAUGGAAAGGGACAUCUCGGUCUGCGGACGUAGCAGAUAUACCUAGAAGUCUCUACCGAUACACCUCCUUCCAAGGCUGACAGAAUUGAAUGGGAGUACCUGUAUCUGCACAACAAAAGUGUGCAGAAGAGUAGCAUGAGAACACCACGGCAGUGCCCAGUAAGUAUCAAGACUUACCUCGAUGGAGUAGUGACGAAGAACGGUCAAGACACCUACCGGUCAAUAAACAGUAUAAUCAUAAAAAUAAUGGAUAUUAUAUGUAAAUAUAUAAAGACUGCACAAAUGACUAAAAAUGCUACAAAUAAUAAUAAAGUAAAUGGGCAAGAUUUAACAACGAUAAUAUAAUAAAUGAUGAUAUGUAAAUGACGGCAGAUAUCACAAUCCAAAUCCUGAGGUCACAACAUAACAAGGGAAAAACAAGUCAAUAGCUCGUAUCCUACAGUGAUGUUCACAUAAGGCCUUAUUCAUCUCUUUCCACAAUUUUUACAAGAAAUCUCGAACAACCACAACUCACGAAAACCCAUCACAUACAAUCUAACACUUGCCAUCAUGUGCCCCAUCAGUCUCUCAGUCAUGCUGACCACUAACUUGUUAACUAUGGACACUCUCACCUAUAAAAUGGAUAAAGGAGGGAGUACCUCCAUCCUUAGAAAAAUUAGGAGCAAUUCGCCUCUAACGGGAGUAUCCAUUUACGUGUAUUCUUGUGCAAGUGUUCUAAAAAGAAUUCUACCAACUAGUAAACAUGAAUAGGAGAACAUAUCACAAGUAUAAUGUUUCCUCACGACUUCGAGCGAUGGAACUCAUAUAGGUAACCAACCCAAAAAUCACAAUAGUAAACAAAAUAGGAAUGCCUCCACAGGCCGCCACAAUUCAUUACCAUAAGCCCAUGACAUAGCCUACAUUAUUUCACCACGUCUGCAAAUAGUAAUAUAAAAUGCACCGCCUUAUUUCUCCACACGUGCAUCACAAUGUUCCCACCUUAUUCUGCCAUAUGCGCAACCCACAUAUGAGAAUGUAAACAUUUCCCCCGUUAUCACCCCACAUGUUCGAACAUCAAUAGUAACAAUAGCACGUCAGAGACCUCAUGUAACUCCUCAACAACAUCCGCAUGGCAGAGACCUCGUGCAUUACAAUAUCAAUGACCGCACGGCAGAAAACUCGGGCACCACAAUAUUAACAACCACACGGCAGAAACCUCAUGCACCACAAUAUUAACAACCGCACGGCAGAAACCUCAUGCACCACAAUCAACUAAAUCAACUAGCAACCACGUUCUUGCCACGAGUAGUCGACUCCAAAGGGCCCAAGUCUAUGCAAUUAAAUCACACAUUGUAAAUAACAUCUCACACAAUUGAUUCUACAAUUUAAUUCAAAGCUAAAGCACGAAAUAAGGUAAAAUGACCAAAACACCCCCAGUCCAACGUCUUAGAAUCGAAUAAUUUUCAUAUUCUUAGAACCUUCGAACUCUCACGAGUCUAACUAUAUAAAAAUCUCCCAACAAAGUCAAAUACCCACUCAAAACUCAAUAGUUUGGUCUAUGAAGAUCUACCAAUUUUGCAUUAAAAAUCUGAAAUUAAAGGAUGAAAUUAAGAGGAGAUUCAUGGAAAUUGGUCUAAAUCGAGUGAGAAUAACUUACCCAAGUUGCUAAGGUGAAAAUCCCCCCAAAAAUCUCAAAGGACCGAGCUCUAGAAGUCAAAAUGUGAUAUAAUGGUGAAACCCUCAAAUUUGGGAUUAAAUAUGUCUGCCCAAACAUUUUAUUCUAUGUGAUGGAAGGAAAAGGUAUGUGAUCGCAUAGAGUAAAAUUGGAAGGCCAGAAAAGAGGCCAAUCCGAAUGCAUAUGCGGUCAUGCGAUUAAAGAAGAUGAGGAAACAUAACUAUGAGAUCGCGAACAAGGUUAUGCGAUUGCAUAGAAGGAAUCGGUACCCUUCUAGAAUACACUAUGUGAUCGCAUCAAAGGAAUUGAUGAUGCCCAAAAUAUGUGCUAUGCGAUCGCGGGACAAGCAAUGCCAUCACAUAGAAAGAAAUACCAAAUAGCAGAUCAUAAGUUCAAAAAGGAGGAAAAAGGAUCCGUAGCCCAUACUGUUAGAAACUACACUUAACGCUAGAGGGGGGGUGAAUAGCGUUGUAAUAAAAUUUAGCGUUUUCCUGCGGAAUUUAGACUUUGCAGGAAGUAAACAAGUGCAGUAAAAAAAUAACUUACACCAAGAUGUAUAUUGGUUGGCCACCAACGUGGUUAGUCCAGUCCCCGAGAGACUCUCUCGAGAUUUUUCACUAACUUGUCAAGCUUAAGGGUGCUCAACAAACCUUUACACACUUGAGGACACAAGCCUCAAACAGUUGCUCGGAGAU
rnacentral:lncRNA from 1 species